UCACUGAUCAAUGAAUGAACA
rnacentral:miRNA from 1 species